CUGCUGCCUUCCGUAGGAGUCUGGGCCGUAUCUCAGUCCCAAUGUGGCCGGUCAACCUCUCAGUCCGGCUGCUGAUCGUCGCCUAGGUGGGCCGUUACCCCGCCUACUAGCUAAUCAGACGCGAGGCCAUCUUCCAGCGAUAAAUCUUUGAUAUCAAAACCAUGCGGUUUCGAUAUGUCAUGCGGUAUUAGCAGUCGUUUCCAACUGUUGUCCCCCUCUGGAAGGCAGGUUCCUCACGCGUUACU
rnacentral:rRNA from 1 species